GACGAACGCUGGCGGCGUGCCUAAUACAUGCAAGUCGACCUUAGUGGCGAACGGGUGAGUAACACGUGGGUAACCGACCCCUCAGACGGGGAUAACACUUAGCAACAGGUGCUAAUCACGGAUACUGAUGGAUGGACCCGCGGUGCAUUCGCUAGUUGGUGAGGUAACGGCUCACCAAGGCCACGAUGCAUAGCGGACCUGAGAGGGUGAUCGGCAACAGUGGGAAUGAGACACGGCCCAAACUCCUACGGGAGGCAGCAGUAGGGAAUCUUCGGCAAUGGACGAAAGUCUGACCGAGCAAAGCCGCGUGAGUGAAGAAGGGUGUCGGAUCGUAAAACUCUGUUGUUAGAGAAGCGGUAUCUAACCAGAAAGCCACGGCUAACUACGUGCCAGCAGCCGCGGUAAUAC
rnacentral:rRNA from 1 species